GCCGGUGAGCGUGAGCGUGGGCGCCGUGGACGGGUCGCCCUCGUUGAAGGAGGCGACGCCGUACAUGGUGAGGCAGACGCUGAGGAUGGUGACGAGCCCGGCGGCGCCCAGGGCGCCCGCCUGGCCGUGCACGGGCGUGUUGCGGAGCGGGCCGGUGAGGGCGAAGGGGCCCACGAGGAGGUAGCCGUGCGCAAGCCCGACCUCGAUGCCGCGGAGCAGCGGGCUCACGGCGGUGCGGUAGGCCGGGAGGUUGGAGAGGUACCAGGCGAUGAGCGGGCUGGAGGUGAUGGGCGUCUCCAGGCUGCCGAUGAAGGGGUCGCCGUUGAUGGGCUGCACCACCUGGUACGUUGUCUGCUCAAGAACAACAGACAGUUUCUAUCAUCAGAGCCAAAGAAUUUUGUUUGAUCAUACAAAGAUAUAUUAUUGAAUUGCUAAUGUUCAGAGCAUCAAAUUGUAUAUCCAAUUUCCAGUCCUGUGAGAUAGAUCAAAAUGAAUCACACAAGAUGACUGAACUGAAAUCAAGAUUCUAGCAGCAGCACACAUGCAAAGAACUGAUCGAUUUGGAAGCAUUUUGAAUGAAAUUGAUAAUUCAUGUUGCCUAUAGCCAAGAGCCAAAUCGAUCAAAACUAUAAAAAAGAUGCAUCACUAUUUCGUUGCUCAGUAGAUCCACUGACCUUCUCAGGCUGGAUGGCCUUCACGGUGAAGCGGGGCCGCCUGGUCAGCGCAGCGCCUGAAAGGCCCCUGGGCCUCGAGUGCACCAAGCCGCUCUUCAUCACCUGGCUCGCCAUGGGAG
rnacentral:lncRNA from 1 species